rnacentral:rRNA from 1 species
UUCUGUGGCCAUGCCACCCUGAACAAGCCUGAUCCUGUCUGAUCUCAGAAGCUAAACAGGGUCGGGCCUGGUUAUUACUUGGAUGGGAGAUCGUCUAGGAAGACCAGGUGCUGUAGGUG